rnacentral:lncRNA from 1 species
AAUAAACAUUACUUUUAAAACGGAAAUUUUUGUAUAUUGUAAUUAAAUUUUCGAGUGAAAAAAUAAAAAAAGAUGUUUAAUAUAAGUCAUUGUAUUUAAGAGUGCAAAAAAAGUGGAAUUGUAUGUAUUAGAAAAAAAUAGUGACUAAGGAUACUUUCAAAAAUUUUUUAUUAUUUCUUUGUUAAAAUUUCUCAGUACUUAAUUUUUACAAUAACUUUAAAGUUACUUGUGUACUGAUAUUGCAAUAUUCGUUGAUAUUUUAUAGUUUAAAUAUCUGCUUUUAUUUGGUGCUACAAGCAUAAAUUGAUAGCAUUUGUUUACAUUCCCAAUGUUUUUAAAUAUUAUGGGUUAAAUUAUGAAAUUGACAGUUCAUGCAAAAAAGUGAAUCAUUUGUUAGGUGCUUUUUUAUAUAAAAACUAGUUCCUUAUAUUUACACCAAGUUUCACUUUAAAGUUAGGUUUAAAAAGGCAAUUUCAUAGUUUAAAUCCCCUAUUACUUUAUUUCUUAUAUUUUUAUUUCUCACAUGGUCUAUAACAUGUUGAAGGGACCAUAGUUUUUAUAAGUUUUCUUUUUAGUUUAAAUACAUAAUUUUAAUUAAUUAAAGUUUUUUUUUAUUUUGAA